CUCUCUCUCUCUCUCUCUCUCUCUCUCUCUCUCUCUCUCUCUCUCUCUCUCUCUCUCUCUCUCUCUCUCUCUCUCUCUCUCUCUCUCUCUCUCUCUCUCUCUCUCUCUCUCUCUCUCUCUCUCUCUCUCUCUCUCUGUGUGUGUGUGUGUGUGUGUGUGUGUGUGUUGUGUUUGUGGGUCGUUGUUGCGCUGUGAAGGUUUUCUACCGAUAUUAUUAUUAAUUUAUUUUUAUUAUUAUUAUUUAUAGACCAUACAUACAUACAUACAUACAUACAUACAUACAUACAUACAUACAUACAUACAUUACUUUUAUACAUUCCGUUUCUGCCCAACACACACACACACACACACACACACACACACACACACACACACACACACACACACACACACACACACACACACACACACACACACACACACACACACACACACUGGUAUUCUUCCUGUGUGUGUUUGUGUGUGUGUGUGUGAGAGAGAGAGAGAGAGAGAGAGAGAGAGAGAGAGAGAGAGAGAGAGAGAGAGAGAGAGAGAGAGAGAGAGAGAGAGAGAAUACGUACACAGAUUCUUUUAUACGCAUGUGAUUAAGGAGGCAAGAAAGUGUUAUGUUGUGAUCUUGAACUUUGUUUUAUCUUUUGUUAGGUCAGGUUAGGUUAGAUAAGGUCAGGUCAGGUUUGGUUAGGUUAGGUUAGGUUAGGUUUAGUUAGGUCAGGUUAGGUUAGGUUUAGUUAGGUCAGGUCAGGUCAGGUUAGGUCUGACUGGAGUGUUACAGUAGCUAGACCAAAUCUUAAUUUUUUUUUUUUUUUUACUUUAUUUCAGUUAAAAAGAAUCUCAUUCAUUAGAGAAAGAGAGAGAGACCUAAGAUUUAUUUGUUUGUUAAUCAUUUAUGUCAUUUAUGCAUUGUUUCUAUUAUUUACAUUAUUAUUAUUUAUUAUUAUUAUUAUUAUUAUUAUUAUUAUUAUUAUUAUUAUUAUUAUUAUUUGCAGAUAUUUAUUUGAUCUAUUCUGUGGAAUUUUCUAUUGCAUAUUUGUUGUCUUGUUUUUCACUUUUGUAAUCUCAGAGAGAGAGAGAGAGAGAGAGAGAGAGAGAGAGAGAGAGAGAGACCAACAAACAAUAUUUCACUAACAUGCCAAAAAACAAACAAGCAAACAAACAAACAAACAAACAGACAGACAGACAAGGCAUGGACAGCUAUUAAUAUAUAUAUAUAUAAAAUAUUUGUAGUAAUAUAUGGAUUAAUACGCUUGUUUGUAUGUACGUAUGCAUGUGUAUAUGCGUGUAUGACUUAAGGUGUGCGGAAUCUAGGGACAUUUUUAGGGAUUUUUAUUUUUUAUCUUUCAUUUUCUCCCUAAGUGGCUUUCAGAUAAGGCUGUUUACAUUAUUUACUUCUAAGGUCAUGUGCUGUACUUACCUAAACUAAACUAACCUAACCUAGGGCUCUGAAGUGUACCCCAGUAUUCUGACUCUACUUGGCUCAGGCUGCAGCGGAAGUUGCUGGGGUUUUCAAGGGUGUUUUCAAGAUUCCAGUGACAAUUUGGGGUGGUUUUCAAGGGUGUUUUCAAGAUUCCAGUGACAAUUUGGGGUGGUUUUCAAGGGUGUUUUCAAGGUUUCAGUGAUAGUUUGGGGUUUUUCAAGGGUUUUCAAGGUUCCAGUGAUAAUUUGACAGGCUGCAGUGGAAGUUAUUGGGGUUUUUCAAGGCUCCAGGGAUAGUUUAACAGGCUGCAGUGAAAAUUAUUGGGGUUUUCAAGGCUCCAGGGAUAGUUUAACAGGCUGCAGUGAAAAUUAUUGGGGUUUUCAAGGCUCCAGGGAUAGUUUAACAGACUGUAGUGAAAAUUAUUGGGGUUUUCAAGGCUCCAGAGAUAGUUUAACAGACUGUAGUGAAAGUUAUUGGGGUUUUCAAGGCUCCAGGGAUAGUUUAACAGACUGCAGUGAAAAUUAUUGGGGUUUUCAAGGCUCCAGGGAUAGUUUAACAGGCUGCAGUGGAAGUUAUUGGGGUUUUCAAGGCUCCAGGGAUAGUUUAACAGGCUGCAGUGGAAGUUAUUGGGGUUUUCAAGGCUCCAGGGAUAGUUUAACAGACUGUAGUGAAAGUUAUUGGGGUUUUCAAUGCUCCAGGGAUAGUUUAACAGGCUGCAGUGGAAGUUAUUGGGGUUUUCAAGGCUCCAGGGAUAGUUUAACAGACUGUAGUGAAAGUUAUUGGGGUUUUCAAGUGUGUGUUUAUGGUCCCAGUCAUAUCUAUAAACAAUUCUAGUUGGAAAAACACUCAAGACUGUCUCAGCAACUUUUCCUGUGGCCUGAGAAAACAGAGAAAAGAGGGUAUUGUCAUUUAGAGUGCUGGCUGCUGUGUCUAAGUAGAAUGAGGUGUGUGUGUGUGUGUGUGUGUGUGAGUGAUGGUGAUGGACACACAGAGAGAGAGAGAGAGAGAAAGAGAAAGAGAGAGAGAGACUUAUCACACUCCUCUAUGUAUUGUAAUGUCGAGAAUUAUCAUUAUUAUUUUUUUUUUUUUUUUGUGUGAUUUUAUUUGAUAUAUUUUUAUAUUUUUUCUAGUUUGUGAAAGAAUCUUAUAUAUAUAGACAUGUUGGCUUCUCAGAGUCCCUUCACGUCACCCUUUGCGAUAUCUAUACAUAUAUAUAUAUAUAUUCAUAUAGUUUAUGGCAAUAUUUUAACUGGCUGUUUUGUGUGUGUGUGUGUGUGUACGUGUCUGAGUGCGUGUGUGUGCGUGUGUGCGUUUUUUGUAGCCUUCGCAUAAAUUUAGAUGGCAGCUUCGAUGGGUUUUUUGGAAUUUUUUUGCAAAUAUUAACUACAUUAUUUUGUCACCACCAGAGUUUGGGUUGUUUCACCAAGGUCUGUGUAUUCCGAGGCACGGCUCUCACUUCAACUGUUUUCCCAAGGCCACAGGGAAGCCUAGCCGGGUCCCAGAGUCAGCUACCCCCGUUAGCAAUGCAGAAAUGUCAUUAAUCUGCCCCUAGAACUGUGAAAAACCCUUAAAUAACCCGCGUCACUUCAACUACAGCCUUUGGAAAUUAGUGUUGGCGAGGUGUAUAAGUGUUGAAAGAGUACAGGGCUGUGUGUGUGUGUGUGCAGGCGUGCGUGUGUGUGUCUAUAUUAGGGUUAAGUAUCAUAAUAGAGUUCUGAUGCUGUGUUGAUCUGCCCAUGCAACUUGAAGUAAUAGUGUGUGUGUGUGCGUGUGUGUGUAAGGGGGUCUGGAGCAUUGAUAGAGGAUUAAACACCUUAUAAAUAGACUUGGAGCUUAUGUAAAAAGGAUUGGAUACCUUAUAGAGGGUCAGGCACUUUCUAGCGCUUAUAAGGAACAUCUAGUUUUGUAUAUGGAAGAUUUAGAACUGUAAAGACAACUGGAACCUCUUAUAAGGAUUCUGACGCUUAUAAGGAGAAUUGGAACCUCCUUAUCAAACCGUUUAUGAGGAAAAUUGAAUUGCAUAAGGAGGAUCUGAAACUAAAUCCUUUAUAAGUAGAAUCAAACUCUUUAUAAGGGGAUUUGAGUUGUUUAUUAGGAUAAUUGAACUCUAUGAGGAAAAUUGAAAUGUGUAAGAGGAUCGUGUUGCUUAUAAGGGAAGUCCAAGCCUAUAUGAAGAUUGUAAACCCUGUAUAAAGUAGAAUUGAACUCUUUCUAAGGGGAUCGAGUCACUUAUAAAGAGAAUUGAAGCCUUUACGAAGAGAAUCGAGGAAAAUUGGAGCUGCAUAAAGCGACCGGAUUGCUUAUAAGAGGAAUCCAAGCUUAUACAAAGAUAAUCAAGUCACUUGUAAGGAGAAUCGAACCCCUUAUAAAGAGAAUCGAACUGUGUAAAGAGGUUUCAGUCGUUUAUAAGGAGAAUCCAAGCCUGUGGAAAGAUGAUUCAGCCCCCUUUUUUAAAUUGUAAACCCAACUCUGUGUAGAUAUGUAAAAAUAGCUUUAUAAGACCAUUGGAAAGGAGAGAGAGAGAGAGAGAGAGAGAGAGAGAGAGAGAGAGACUUGAUUGUGAAAGGAGGAGGGAAAGAGAUUUUUUUUUUUUUUUUUUUGAGCAAUUGAGCGAGUGCUGUUUGUGAAGAUUAGAGCGAGGAAAUAUUUUGUAGAGAGAGAGAGAGAGAGAGAGAGAGAGAGAGAGAGAGAGAGAGAGAGAGAGAGAGAGAGAAAUAAUAUUGUGAUAUGUGUAGUAGUUUGUGAUGGCAUUAUUAUUAUUAUUAUUAUUAUUAUUAUUAUUAUUAUUAUUAUUAUUAUUAUUAUUAUUAUUAUUGUUGUUGUUGUUGUUACUGUUAAGAGGGAGAGAAGUAAUGAUAAUAUCUGAUGCAAGAGAGAGAGAGAAAAAAAUAUAUAUUGAAGAAGGAAAAAGGAAAGAAAAGAGAAUGCAGGAAAAGAAAAUUGAAGGAAAAUAUUGAAAGAAUUAAAAGAAAAAGAGAAGAGAGGAAAUCUGGUUAAUUUAUUUAUUUUAUUUGUUUAUUUAUUUGUUUGUUUAUUUGUGUGUGUGUGUGUGUGGAUGAAAAAGAGGGAAAAAAGUGAUAAUUGGAGGAAAAGCAGAUAAAAACUGACUUUGAGAAUAGAAUAAGAAUGGUGAUAAAGAAAAUAAAACGAAAAGGAAGGAAUGAAAAAAAAUUGCGAGUUUUGAAUUGAGAAGAAAAAAAAAUAAAUAAAUAAAAAUAAAAACAAGAGAUCUGAUAAAAAAAAAAAAAAGAUUGUAAUGAAAAGGAAAUUAAUACAAAAAAAUAAUAUAAGUAAAUGAUAAAAAAAAAAGAAAAAAAAAAAACAAAACUUGUAUAUUUGUGAAAACUUAUAUUUUUGACCGUUCUCGAAAGUUUUGUGGGGAAAAGAGGAAAAAAAAUAUUGCUACAGGAAGUGAAGAAGGAAAAACAGUUUGUGCAGGAAAUUGAGAGAAAAAGUGAAUUAUAGAAAAA